ACCAGAAUUUCCUUUGGGACGAGAUGCUUUCCGGACAAACAUUAUUGUAUGCUGAUAUAAUAAUUAACAACCGAUCCUAUGGGCUGAAAUAUGUGUUAAAAGCUUGGAGCAAGACACAUUACGAUCGAUGGCGUUCGCUGACUGAUGCAUUGCUAUUCACUGCUGACUAGCUUAUCCUAUUGUUGCCUCUAAUCAGUGAUGAACACCAAUUAGAAUCAAUCGAUUUAAUUCACAGGAUAUUACGAUUGUUUACAAGGGCCCUAGCACCUGUAGUUUAAGUUAUUCGAUUCGAUUUUUAUUAAAUAACGCCGUUUUUCUUUUUCUGAUCUAUUAUUAGAGCUGUCAAUGUCUUCAUCUUAUAUUUAUUGCUGCGAUGUUUUACUUUAUUUUAUAUAUCAG